UCAGUGAACAUCAACACGUGAACACAAACAGUAAAUUAUUAUGAAAGAUAAUAUAAACACAAUAAUUUAAUAAAAAUGAAAUAACACUAUUAUGUGCAUCUGAGCAUUUUUGCGAUGCAGUUUUCGUAUUAAGUUAAUUGGGGACGGUAUAGUCACAAAUUUAUAGACCAUGGCAUUUACAAUCGUAUAAAUAAAUAGGUUGUUGAAACUACGACGUAGCUACUAAAAUCUUAAAAAAUGAUGAAGCAAACGGAAAGGGAUCUGACAGUAGAGAUAAAGAAAGAAUUAAAUUUAAUGUAUCUAUAUGUCCGGCAAAACAUAUAUUUUUUUAGCGCAGUUUUUUUAUGUUUUGUCAUGCUGUAUGUUCUGCGACAUAUGGUGUUCAAGGGCUAAUUACAUAAGUGUGAAUUUCUUAAUUGCUGCGUGCUUUUGUAUGAUAGCAUGAAAAUGUUGAUUGUUCUCCAUUUAUAAGUACAAGAAAUAUUUAGAAAAGACAUAGCUUACCUCAAUGGAGAUUUACCCUGUUAUUUAUAAAAAACGUUAAAGCACACAAGUUUUACCUCUUUCUGUCAAUUACAAAUUGUAAAGUGCGACAGUGACAAAACAUAUUUUAGUGUUAAUUAUAAAAAAUAAUGAUGAUUUGCAACAAUUCUUGUAAAAAAAUAUUGUAAUAAUUUGAUCGAAAUUAUAAUGUAAGUAUUUGGCCAAUAAUGUAUUAAAAUUAUUAUGAUUU